rnacentral:rRNA from 1 species
CCUACGGGAGGCAGCAGUGAGGAAUAUUGGUCAAUGGGCGCAAGCCUGAACCAGCCAAGUCGCGUGAGGGAAGACGGCCCUACGGGUUGUAAACCUCUUUUGCCGGGGAGCAAGCCUGAGCACGUGUGCCCAGGCGGCGAGUACCCGGAGCAAAAGCAUCGGCUAACUCCGUGCCAGCAGCCGCGGUAAUACGGGGGAUGCGGGCGUUAUCCGGCUUUAUUGGGGUUAAAGGGUGCGCAGGGGGGCUGUUAAGCCGGCGGUAAAAAUUCAGGGUUAAACCCUGUCGAGCCGUCGGAACUGGCAGUCUUGAGUGGGCGAGAGGUAUGCGGAAUGCGUGGUGUAGCGGUGAAAUGCAUAGAUAUCAGGCAGAACGCCGAGUGCGAAGGCAGCAUGCCGGCGCCCGACUGACGCUGAGGCGCGAAAGCGUGGGGAUCGAACAGGAUUAGAUACCCUAGUAGUC